UCAGUAAUAGUUUUUUUAAACCACUCAAUAGUUCAAGUGACUUAAUCAUCAUUUCAUCAUUUCCUGUUUAAAUCUUAUCCUGGCCCUAAGCGAAGGUCUGUGCUUUGUCUUGAAGUGUUACAAUGAAAUUACUUGUUCCAGUUCAUGUCCUCAUUCUUCAUUUAAUGCUUGAAGGAAUUUCUCGCAAGAUUUCCAUGAAGCUCAAUCU